CCCUCCGCCCGGAGCCCCCCCGGCCGCGCCGCCCGCCCGGCGCCCCCCCCGCCGCCCGGCAGCAGCAGCGCCUCAGACCCGCCACCCAUCGCUGGAUGUUCCUCCACUUUACCCACCGUAUCAAACAACUUUUACCAGUAAAUAUCGGUUUAUUCCUGAAACCAGAAGCCCUAAACAUACCUUUGUUUAUAAGGUCAGUUGGCAUUUUGUCUCUCUCAUUCCCCACUCCCCCCCAGUACAACCCAGCAGGUGGUUGAAAGGUACCAAGUUCUCUUUCUAGUUUUCCUGCUCUGCAUCUCUGGGAACUGGAGCCCACAGGACCUAGAGCCUUCUAUUGGUAAUGUAGACCUGAGUUUACAAAUUAUUCUUUUACCAUUUUAAAUCCUGCUUUUAAGGACAGAGGUCUUCCCACCUGCCCACCACGGGAACUGGUAGAAACCCCUAAAUUGCUCCUCCUCUCCAAAGCCUGCGGGUAGGUCUCUCACUAGCAUCUUCAGGCUUGGGACUGAGAAAAUAAUUUAUCCCAAAAUAUACACUAAAAACUGCCGUUUCUGGUUUACUGUGAGCAGGACCGGGGGAGGGAAGGGUGGGAAAGGAGUUUGAAACUUACUUUUCUCCCCCUUUUUUCCUAGAAAGCAAAUGUGACAUGGGGAAGAGGGAAAGAAUGUGAACAUGGCCCUUCCUAAACUCGUUGUAAACUCCUCCUCCGAGGCUGGGAAAAAGGGCAAGUGAAAGAUCUGAUCCUUAAAAGGACAUCACUGGGUGUCUGAGACCCCAAAAGCAGCUGGCAAUUUUUAAGGACUCAAAUUGCUUUCGGUUUAUCCCAAGACAAAUUGAAGUGGGAAUGCUGAAGCCUCCUUUUCCCCACAAGUAUUUGCCACCCAAACACUGCACAUUUUGGUAAUACCCAAGAAACAGAGAACCUGAUGAGGGAUAGAAAAUGAGUUUACUGCACAGUCCUGGCCAAAUUUUUUCUCCCAAGCAAAAAAAAAUG